UACGUAGGGUGCGAGCGUUGUCCGGAAUUACUGGGCGUAAAGAGCUUGUAGGUGGUUUGUCGCGUUGUUCGUGAAAACCGGGGGCUUAACCCUCGGCGUGCGGGCGAUACGGGCAGACUUGAGUACUGCAGGGGAGACUGGAAUUCCUGGUGUAGCGGUGGAAUGCGCAGAUAUCAGGAGGAACACCGGUGGCGAAGGCGGGUCUCUGGGCAGUAACUGACGCUGAGGAGCGAAAGCGUGGGGAGCAAACAGG
rnacentral:rRNA from 1 species